GCAUAAUAUUAAGCAGGAAAUAGUUUAAGUAGAAUAUCAGCUUUGGGAGUUGAUGGUGGGGCUAAUGCCUUUUUCCUGA
rnacentral:tRNA from 1 species